AAAAAAAAAAAAAAAAAAAAAGCUCAUUUUAUUGAUCCUUUAGUCAUAAAAACAUUUCUAAAACCAAAUUUACUGUUAUUCUCCUUGAUGCUAUUCAGAAAAAUAGUUUAUUUCACCCUUCCAAAAUAAGCAUCUACAUUAUGAAAAAUAGAGUUGGCGAAGUAACAUUUUGCCUUUCUAUUAUUUCCCUUUUCGCUCUUUUAUCUGGUGCCAAAGAAAUAAAUCUUUUCUAGUUUGUAGUUUUUGCCUCAUAUGUUCAUAAGAGUAAUCAUGAUAUCUAAGAAGAAUCGAAGGAGAGAUCAAAUCGUGAUACAUAACUAUAAUAUUGAUGACCCAUUGUGACCUUAUAGACUGCAUUUACUAUUACUACAUUACUGAACAAGACUGCAUUUUUUUGUCACUAGUUGGAACUUGGAAGUGAUCAUUUGGCAUGUUCACUGUAUUCUUAAGCUAAUUUUCUUCAAUUUUCUUACAAAAAUGAUUGCAGCAAUCGUACUUACAUGAUACUCUGGCAUUGGCUUAUUUUUGCUUUUGUAGUUUCCUCUCAUACAUGGAUUAGAAGCACGUUUGUAGAAUAAUCCAAAUAGGUAGAAAUUCCAUCUAGUUUUUGUUCCUUCAGCUUUGAGGUAUUCUGCACAUUUAUCUACCAUUUUAUACUUAAUAUGUAUCUUUCUUCUUGUGGAAACCAAGAUCAUGCUACCUUUUUCUGUUGGAUGAUGAAGACAUAACUAUCAAUGUAAGUUGUUGGAGAAAAACAAUGAGUUUGAAAACAAAUUGGAGUUGUUUCGAUUAAAAACCUGAUGGAGGUUUGAGUAUGGACUAAAAGUGGACGCAUCACGCCUCAUUUACCAAAAUUGAGUUGUUGGGAAGCAUCAUUCCUCAUUUACGAGAUACUUAGGUCUGUUAGUUCGUGAUACUCUUGAGCGGACAUCAAGGAAGAGGAGUUGGAACAGAUGUGGGAGGCUGUUACUAUGUCAAUGGUGCAUUUCCAUAUGCUUAUCCUUGUAGCUCCUGAUGGAAUACAUUGAUGGCAUACCCAUUUUGAUGCUAGGAGACGAAAUAGCAAAGAAAGUCAUACACCCUAAUGGAAAGUUAAGGACAAUUGCAAAACAGUAGGUCCGUAAAUUAUCCUAAAACAUGUUGUUCUGAAUAGGCCUGCUUGUUUCAUACAUAGGCGGAUUUCCUUGAUGUAUAGGAAGUCUUCUGCCUUUGUUCCCCUUUGAAGUGGUCAUUUUUCAUGUCUGUGGAACUCCCGUAUAUUGCUCUAUUUAGAAAAUGUUUAUAGUGAAGGUCCUCUUUUCUCAUUCUUAAAAAACAGGAAUAUCCUUAAAAAAUUGUCACUUGCUUAUGGACAAAUGAUACUUAAAAGUGGUUUCUUCCAUGCAGAUCCACCUCCAGGAAACAUUCUCAUCUGUAAAGGUUCUGAGGUGAGUAGACAUUGGAAGACCUAAACUUCUCCCCAAACUAAGAAUUUACAAAUUAUAAUUCUUGCGAAUAAAUAAUAUGCAAUAGAGAUUGUUAUUUAUAUCAUUCCUUUCAGGUUGCAUUGCUUGAUUAUGGAAAUGUGAAGGAUCAUCUUGAUGAACUGAGGCUUUGAUAUGCUAAGUUGGUUCUUGUGAUUGUAGAUAAUGACCCUUGAAGGGCAUCAGAGAGCUACAGGUGCUAUAAUUUUCCCGGAAAGUUUUUGUUGUAAAAUCAUAUUUUUCCUCUUUCUGCUUUCACAGCAAAAGAGACUUUCUGCGGUGUCUAUUACUCUAACAUAGUUGCAGUUGAUGAUGAAUGGGUAGGAAUGGGAAAAUUAGUUGUUGUCCUUUGUUUGGUUAGUGGGUCUUACUCUUCCUGUUGUUAUGCACAUACACGGAGAUGAGAGUUUAGAGAGUCGGGGAAGAGUUCUAGGAGAGAGAUGCAUCAUUUUCAGCAUAUGUUAUUAUUGACCCUAAGAUGGAAGACCUGGUCAUGUGUUUGUUAAGAGAAUAUGUAUUUAUGCUCAUUUGCAACUUUGAUUGUGAAUCAUCUAUCAGUAGAAACACCAUCAUAGUGGACCGCAUUGGAUAUAAUAUAUACCUUAUCAUACUUCAUAGGCUCAUCACAAUUCAAUCAAAACUAGUGAUUGAUUCUUCGGUAACUGCGCUCUUAUGAUUUGGCUCAAUCUGAUCUAAUGUGUAAACAACAAAACUGCAGGCUUGCCGUAGUCUAACAAUUUUUUCUGUUUUCCUUGGUAAUAUGUGUCUUCUUUAUAUCUCAGGGAUCGAGGUAUCGAGACCUUAAUCAAAUGCGAGAAUGAACAAAAAGAAAUGCUUAGGCUGGCACAAACAAUGUUUGACACAAAAUAACCCCCUUGGGGUUACAAUGCUGCAACCUUUUACUGAAGAAUCUUCAAUAAAAAAUAUUGCUAUUAAGGUAUGUUGUUAAGUUCCUUAGGUUAAAAAGUAUAUAGCUAUUUGCUGCGAGUUGGGUCUACUAGCCUAGCAAAUUGAAUGGAUGGCAUCUUAUUGAACAAGUUACUUCUAGGACCUAAAUUCCCAAUUCGUACAUAAUGUUUCUGUCCUUUUUGGGUUAUUUUGGGGUGGGAGACGUGGAGAAUUCAUUUUUGUUCCGUUUAUAGUAGUAUCUAUUGUCUACCGGAAACACCCUCUCUACUAUGGUAGAGGUAAGCCCUGCGUACGUUCUACCCUCCUCUGACCCCACUUUGUGGGAUUUCACUGGGUAUGUUGUUGUUGUUAUAGUAGCAUCUAUUACCAAACUAACAUGAGCUUGUUCUUUUAACGGUUCAAGGAUCUGGAGUCUUUUAAGUGUGGAGAACUUAUCCAUGAAGAAAGUGCAUACCAAGUAUCAACAGUAGAAAAUGUUAAAGAACAACAAAUCCCACUCACCCAAAUAUCUGGCCUAAGAAAAUCCCUUCCCCUUCCCAAAACCACGAUUGUAGGUGUUGGAGGAAGACACACCUCAUCACAAGUUGCGUUCUGUAAAGUCACAGGUAAUCUGCUCAACGCCGCUGUUAAGGGCAAGUCUUUUACUGGUAAACCAUUGCCAUUUCUGAUACACUCUUUACUAUGUGUUAAAUUCUUUAUGGAAUUAGUAAUUUUAGGAUAGAUAUUUAAUAAUCUAUUGUUUCCUUAUAGAUUUUGGAGUUUUGAUUCUUUAUUUGCAAGAAAAGCGAGAUCUUUUUUGGAUUCGUUUUUCUAGCUAAGGGAACUCUUUUGAAGGUUAUGGCUAGAUCUACUUUUGAAGUUCUAAAGUUUUAUUAGUCUAUGUUUGAAUUCAGCUUGUCACAACAACUGUGAUUGCGUUUGUUGGACACGGGGUAUAAGGUGGAAAUAUGCUUAUUCGUAAUAUUUAGUUGGUUAAUAGUUUUGUCAUUUCUGAUUCUACAUUGCUAUGUUUCUGAUUAUUCUAUUUGAGACAUCUCUUUUUCCUUUUCGUCUAGUUUGCUAUGUGCUUAAGGAGAUUCCAGAAAGCUUGUACACUUGGUGGGCCUCUCUUGUCUUAUAACUCUAGUCACCUGCAGCUUGACAAGAAUGGUAUGCUUCAUUUAAUUUGCUACUAAUUUUGACAUCUUUGUUAAGAAGGGAGAAGGAAAAUUGUAUACUGUUAUAGUGACGAUGAAGUUUGGCUUGCCAGCUUUAACGUGAUGUUUAAGAUCAACAUCCAUCUAAAAUGCCUCUGGUGAUAUAUACUUUAUGAUCAUGUACCAUGUAAUGCUUUACUUUUCCAAUGACAUUUAGCUGAAUUAAAAGCUAACAAAGACCAUAGAGAAGUUUCAGUGGAAUUGUUUUGAUUUGCUUUUACCUGUGAAUCUCUUCUUUUUAUUCUUUAGGAUUUUAUAAGUAAAACCCUCUGUGUAUGUUCUUGGAGUUUGGGCAAUGGUUUGUGAUUGAUUAUCAGUUACUCUUAUGUAUUGAUUGUUGUUUGAUUAUAUAUUCAUUAAUUUUAAUGGUGGGUUGUCACUUACAGGCUAAUUCACAUUUCAACUUUGGACCAAUGUGUGCAUAUUUGACUGUCAAUUACCUUUAUUGGUUCCUUUCUACAAAGGAUUUACCUAAGGGCAAAGCAUUGAAGAUGCAGUUUUACUAAGUUUAGUUUGUCUGUCCGUUGCUUCUAAAGUGGGGAGAUUGAAAUUGGUGGAAAGCUACCGGAGAAUUGCAUAUUCAUUUUAUUGUUCUUGUUAAGGCCUCUUUCAGUUCCCCUUGUAAUUGCUACAGUGGAGUUAGAAGCUGACAAAAAUAAUGUCAUAUAAUCUGGAAGAUGUAUGUUUUUUGGCAUUAGGAUACUUCAUUUCAUUUGUAAUAAACUAUGAAAUUCUAUAUAAAAAUUGGUUAUUUUGCAUAUUUCCAAAUUA